UCGGGAAUUUUGGGCAAUGGGCGAAAGCCUGACCCAGCAACGCCGCGUGAAGGAUGAAGUAUUUCGGUAUGUAAACUUCGUAAGAAUAGGAAGAAUAAAUGACGGUACUAUUUGUAAGGUCCGGCUAACUACGUGCCAGCAGCCGCGGUAAUACGUAGGGACCAAGCGUUGUUCGGAUUUACUGGGCGUAAAGGGUGCGUAGGCGGCAUAUCAAGUCACUUGUGAAAUCUCCGGGCUUAACUCGGAACUGCCAAGUGAUACUGAUGUGCUAGAGUGCAGAAAGGGCAACUGGAAUUCUUGGUGUAGCGGUGAAAUGCGUAGAUAUCAAGAGGAACACCUGAGGCGAAGGCGAGUUGCUAGGCUGACACUGACGCUGAGGUACGAAAGCUAGGGGAGCGAACGGGAUUAGAUACCCCCGUAGUCCCUGAGCGGGCUGGCAAGGCGCAU
rnacentral:rRNA from 1 species